AAGAAACUCCAAUCACCUGUCAACAGGUAUCAACAGCCCUCCAUCGAGCGUGCGCGUCGCCCGGCCCUGUAUGAAUCUAACCCCCGGCGAGAGAAAGCGGAACGCUCUGCUGUGUGCAUAGUCGCCUCGGAGGACCCGUUCUGUUUUAUUUUAGUCAUUUGUUUUGCUAGGCUGGUAUUAUGGCCAAAAAAUCUUCAACCAAGAAGUCAUUGAAAGGUUUGUUCUCCAGGAGUGAAGCCCACCACAAGGAACCGGUGGAGAAAGAAGAGAAGAGCAAUGGAGGGGAGAAGAAAAAGUUCAAACUGUUUAAAUUCAGUCUUAAGUCCAGGAGUAACGCGGCUCUGGAUAAGACGGCGGAUGCCAGGUCCUCGGAGAGCUCGCUAUUCCCAGACGGCGAUGAGGUUUUCCUGGAGAGUCCGAGAUCCGCCAGCAAGAGUUCAACUUUGUACGCUACUGCACCGAGGUCAAAGGCCAAAGACCUGAGCCGCUCCGAUAUGGACCUGAACAAGCCCAAGAAGUCCGGAGCCUUCAGCUUCACCCUCCGCAAGAAGAAGCGGGACAAGGACCGGGAGGAGAUGUCCAAGAGCGUGAUCGGACUGCACGGCCCCUGGACCCAGGGGCGUGGCGAGCACCUGGACGUCAGCCAAUGGGAGCUGGCGUCACGGCAGGGGGCCUCGUUCGCCAUGUCUCAGCCGGAGCUGGACACGGCGGACACCUUCGACAUCCCGCCGCCGCCCCCGGUGGCCCCCAGCCUCCUGGCCCCCAGCCUCCAGGCCUCUCAGCCUCCUGGCCUCUCAGCGCUCCUCGUCGGCGGACUUCCUUAGCAGGAUGGACCCCCCCACCUUCCGCGACCCCCCGGCCUUCCGAAACGGCCCCACCCUCCACGACCGCCACGGCCGCCUGCGCUCCCUGGAGACCCUGCUGGACAGCCCCGACGCCUUCGACGUGGACGGGGGGCUGGGCGAGGUGCCCCUCGCCACCAUGCCCGAGCUGCUGCUGCUGACGGCGCCGUCCUCGCCGGCCCCCCCGGCCCCCUCCAAGCGGCGGCACGACCCCGGGAAGCACCAGGCCCAGCUCUCCCAGAUCCCCGUCGCCGGCCCCCCCGCGAUCCCCGGGGACCCCGCCGAGACACAAGAGCCGGUGUGCUCCCCCCUCGCCUUCCCGCGGUCGAACCACCCUGUCCUCUCCCCGGUGGUCCUGAUCCAAAGUCACAAGAUCCACCCCGUCCUCCCCGUCGUCCGUCCCGCUGGCGGCUACUCGUCACGGGACUCCGCCCCCGCGCACGCAACGGCAGAGCUGCCUCCAACGGCCGGCCUCAAGAUGGACGCCGGCGCUAUCUAAAGCCCUCCUCGACCGCUCUCGGAUGAACCCGGUCCAGGCGAGCUCCCCCCUGAUCCAAGGCGAGGGCUCGGUUCCAGUUCUCCCCGAGGGAUCCAGCGACCUCGUCAGCCCCUCGGGAGGCGACACCCCGCUGUCCGGCGAGACGUUCCAGUCGGUCUUCUCCCAGAGCUUCACCACCGAGGUGUUCUCCGCCAUGCUAAACACGGGCGAGCCCUCCGAUCGCGUCGUGGAGCAGGACCCUCCCCCCCAGCCGCCGUCUCCCCCUCCUGCCCGCCGCCAGGAGCGGUUCGACCACCGCCGUGCGUCCACGACGACGACGGGGGGUUCCCUAGAAGCCCCCCCGUCCCGGUGGGUGUUCCUGAGCACAGACCGCCUGUCGUCGACGUGGUGCGCGAUGCGGUGACUGACGUCUCGGUCCCGUCGGCAAAACCGGCCUCCACGAUCGACCCGGUCUCCACGACAGAACCAGUCCCUACAACGGACCCGGUCUUAACGACAGACCCGGUCUUCACGACAGAAUCGGUCUCGAGGACCGAUCCGGGUCCCAACACAGACCAGGUCUCCACCACAGACCGGGUCAACGAAGCCUACCGCGCUCCGACCGACAGCAAUGACAGGGGUGCGACCUCCACGUACCAAGACCCCCUUACGGAAACAGAGCACUACCAUCACAUCCUCGGUACCCUUCAGCACGAUUCCCUCCUCCCUGUGAGCCUCCACCCCGGACGGAUCCCACGCCUCCCAGCCCUGAUCCCCGGCUGGAGAGGCCGUCCCACACGGAGACGACAACAACCUCCCCCACUGUCCAUUCAGACCCCGAGCCGGCCCGUCAGGACUCGGCGCUCUGCCCCGGUCGCCUCUCACCGUCGGAGGGGAGCGCUCUCUAUUCAGCCCUGAAACCCGAGGAGCUCGGCCCUGAUGCAAACACUGAGGCUCCAGUGUCUCCGACGGAGCCACCCGCCCCGCCCCACAGUGAUCACCCAGGUUCCCCAGGGACGGCCGACACACACACACAGGUCUCCCUUGUCCCGAAACGACCAGAGUUUGUCACAGUCGGUCACGACGUCUUGACUGGUCCUGAACCCUCUCCUUCUCCGCCGCCUGAAACAAUGGCCGCCUUAAAUCAACAAGAGACAAUGGGGGAGGAGGAGGAGGAGGAGGAGGAGGAGGAGGAAGCAGCAGCAGCAGCAGAAGAAGAAGAAGAACAGGAAGCCUUCCCAGCGGGGGCCAGAGGGCAGCCGGACGUCUGCUCCCCCGAGCCGGUGCUCCUCAGCGUGGGGUCCGACGGCAGCAGUGCCAUGGACGUGUUCUUCAGCGCCGACGAGGACAACGCCACCGACGGCGAACUGGACGACGUGUCCACCCUGGGGGAGAGCGAGGACCCCGGCGCCACGAUGGAAGACGGCGGCGUCUGGUCCGCGAGGGAAGACCCGUUCGAAACACCCCUGGUCUCCCCCGGUCCCGACGGCCCGCCGGGAAGAGUCGGCGCGUCGGGAGACGGGGCGGCGGCGCUCCCGAGCGACCGGAUUGAAACGUGGGGGAGACGCCUUGAGCGGGGGAACACAGAAGUGCAACGGCAGGAGGCGGCCAGGAGAGAGUCCCCUCCUCCUCCUCCUUCUCCUCCCGUCUACUCCCCUCCGCCUCCUCUCCCUGAAGGGGAGCAGCAGCAGGGGAGAGGAGGGACCGGGGCCACGGAGACUUGGAGGAGGAGGAUAGACAUGUGGGGCGAGAGGUCGGAUGAACAGGGGGAGGUGGAGGCGAGGGCGGAGGCAGAGCCGCGCCCUGCCCUACCGGUCCGACAGGUGGAGACGCUGAUGGAAUGUGAGCCAGCCCUGCCCUUUUCUCAGGUGUGCAGCCAGGUGGAGGAGGAGGAGGAGGAGGUGGGAGGGGAAAACCUGAUGCCGCUCAUUCUCCCGGUAACAGGAGAGCCGCCUGAAACCCCCUCCCAGGUCCCAGAUCCCCUGGGGAGAGAGUACCUGCCGCACGGAAGCGCCUGCAGGGCAGAGGCGAACGCAGAACACCUCCAGCCAGACGCACGCACGUUCAUCGACGUCGGCGCAGCAGGCCUCGACACAAGCACCCCAGACCCUGCCGAGCGGGGGGAGACAGGGGAGGCCAGGGGGGGAG
ensembl:lncRNA